rnacentral:rRNA from 1 species
AUUGAACGCUGGCGGCAGGCCUAACACAUGCAAGUCGAACGGUAACAGGAAGAAGCUUGCUUCUUUGCUGACGAGUGGCGGACGGGUGAGUCAUGUCUGGGAAACUGCCUGAUGGAGGGGGAUAACUACUGGAAACGGUAGCUAAUACCGCAUAACGUCGCAAGACCAAAGAGGGGGACCUUCGGGCCUCUUGCCAUCGGAUGUGCCCAGAUGGGAUUAGCUAGUAGGUGGGGUAACGGCUCACCUAGGCGACGAUCCCUAGCUGGUCUGAGAGGAUGACCGGCCACACUGGAACUGAGACACGGUCCAGACUCCUACGGGAGGCAGCAGUGGGGAAUAUUGCACAAUGGGCGCAAGCCUGAUGCAGCCAUGCCGCGUGUAUGAAGAAGGCCUUCGGGUUGUAAAGUACUUUCAGCGGGGAGGAAGGGAGUAAAGUUAAUACCUUGGCUCAUUGACGUUACCCGCAGAAGAAGCACCGGCUAACUCCGUG